AUUGAACGCUGGCGGCAUGCCUUACACAUGCAAGUCGAACGGCAGCACGGGGAGCAAUCCUGGUGGCGAGUGGCGAACGGGUGAGUAAUACAUCGGAACGUGCCCAAUCGUGGGGGAUAACGCAGCGAAAGCUGUGCUAAUACCGCAUACGGUCUACGGAUGAAAGCAGGGGAUCGCAAGACCUUGCGCGAAUGGAGCGGCCGAUGGCAGAUUAGGUAGUUGGUGAGGUAAAGGCUCACCAAGCCGUCGAUCUGUAGCUGGUCUGAGAGGACGACCAGCCACACUGGGACUGAGACACGGCCCAGACUCCUACGGGAGGCAGCAGUGGGGAAUUUUGGACAAUGGGCGAAAGCCUGAUCCAGCCAUGCCGCGUGCAGGAUGAAGGCCUUCGGGUUGUAAACUGCUUUUGUACGGAACGAAACGGCCUUUUCUAAUAAAGAGGGCUAAUGACGGUACCGUAAGAAUAAGCACCGGCUAACUAUGUGUCAGCAGCCGCGGUAAUACGUAGGGUGCAAGCGUUAAUCGGAAUUACUGGGCGUAAAGCGUGCGCAGGCGGUUAUGUAAGACAGUUGUGAAAUCCCCGGGCUCAACCUGGGAACUGCAUCUGUGACUGCAUAGCUAGAGUACGGUAGAGGGGGAUGGAAUUCCGCGUGUAGCAGUGAAAUGCGUAGAUAUGCGGAGGAACACCGAUGGCGAAGGCAAUCCCCUGGACCUGUACUGACGCUCAUGCACGAAAGCGUGGGGAGCAAACAGG
rnacentral:rRNA from 1 species